GCUGCCCUGGUCUGGUUCACUGUGUGGCCGCACAAACCUUUGUGUUGGCAUUGGGGCAGGAACUGGAGCAGGAGUAGGUGUAAGCAAGUAGGGGAGAGUGGGACUGCUGUUUUCACCAGCAGUGUUAGUUCAUACCUGCCUUAACUGCAUAUUCAUCUAGUGAAUUCAUAUGCAGCAUUGAAACUUUAUAUUGAAAACGUCUGGAGGCUGCCACAAGUGCACUCUAUCGUGCUAGCCACUGUGUUUGCAGAGGCGCUUAUAAAGGCGGUAUGGUGGAAGAAAGAGCAGGCAACUGGGAGCACAUAGAUGGAAGGAUGAGCGGCAUUUUUUUGUGACAGUAACUCUCUUUGCACAAUCUAUCUGGGGCUACUGGAAAGGCAGGCAGUGGAAAACUCUUAAUCUUUGAAUGUUGCAUAUAAAGGAAACAAGAUAAAAUGAUAACUGUGUCUUCUUUUUUUCCUCCUCUUCAUGCUGCAAAAAAAAAAAACAAACCAGUGGCCAAGAGCAAAUCUAAAUACAUUCUGGUGAGGAUGAAAAGUGCGGCUGAGACAGGCUACUGUUUCAACGUCAGGAGACUCCGACUGCAGGAGAAACUGGUCCUGCUCAAAUACGAUCCCAUUGCAAAAAAACGUGUCCUCUUCACAGAGAAGAGAAAAAUCCGCUCUAUCUGAACAAUGAUUGGACUUGAUUUAUGCAUGAGGAGAGGAUGAUUUAGGGGGAGGACAGGGUGAACGCUGAUUCAGAAAUCCUGCAACAUGGGCUGAAAAGAGAGGAAAUGAACUGGGAUCACCGUCUCCUGUGAUUUGAAGGCCAUUGUGAAUAAACAAUGUAGAGGGAGAAAAUUCUUAAUGUCUGGACAUAGAUCAUCACAGUAACAUUUAUUUAUCUUUUGAGUUAUUUUUACAGUACUCAAUUAAAAAAAAAAUUAAAUAGCAAAUCCCAUUGUCUGUGUUUUCCAUUGUGAAAGAAGCUGUAAUCUUCAAAGGACCCAUUGUUUUAUAAGGCAAUAAAAAUUAACAUUUUCCACAGCAGCAGGAGCGCAGUUUUUUCUACCCUCCCAGCCACAGCUUCAACAGUAGUGACCACGAAUGGGUGUCAUUCCUGGCGGGGUAGUGUUGCACCAGCUGCUUCCUAGGAAAGGAAAAAGCAAGGGGAACCUGGUGAAAUAAGAUGAGCUUUUGGAUAAGCUGUGACCACGGCUCGAAGGGCUGUAUUAUUUACAGUAAGUAAAUGUUCAAGGGACCUUCCACAGCGGCAGAACCGCAGAGUGCCGCAGCCCGCAUCGGAAGCGCAUGGGAACAG